rnacentral:rRNA from 1 species
UACGGGGGGAGCAAGCGUUGUUCGGAUUUACUGGGCGUAAAGGGCGCGUAGGCGGUCAGCACAAGUCAGUUGUGAAAUCUCCGGGCUUAACUCGGAAAGGUCAACUGAUACUGUGCGACUAGAGUGCAGAAGGGGCAACUGGAAUUCUCGGUGUAGCGGUGAAAUGCGUAGAUAUCGAGAGGAACACCUGCGGCGAAGGCGGGUUGCUGGGCUGACACUGACGCUGAUGCGCGAAAGCCAGGGGAGCGAAUGGG